AAUCAACGCUGGCGGCGUGCCUCAGACAUGCAAGUCGAACGCGAAAUUUCCCUUCGGGGGAGAAAGUAGAGUGGCGCACGGGUGAGUAACACGUAGGUAAUCUGCCUUUGGGCGGGGAAGUAACUCAGGGAAACUUGAGCUAAUACCGCAUAAUGCAGCGGCUCGACAUCGAGACAGUUGUUAAAGCGGGGGAGUCGCAAGACCUCGCGCCUGAAGAGGAGCCUGCGGCAGAUUAGGUAGUUGGUGAGGUAAUGGCUCACCAAGCCUGCGAUCUGUAGCCGGCCUGAGAGGGCGGUCGGCCACACUGACACUGACAUACGGGUCAGACUCCUACGGGAGGCAGCAGUCGGGAAUUUUGGGCAA
rnacentral:rRNA from 1 species